GUUGAUCAGUGGCUCGAGANACGCUGGCGGCGUGCUUAACAAAUGCAAGUCGAACGAGGAAUGAUGCUUCGGUAUUAUUCCGAGUGGCGGACUGGUGAGUAACACGUGAGUAACCAACCUUAUACAGGGGGAUAACUAAGAGAAAUCUUAGCUAAUACCGCAUAGAACAGGAAAGCCGCAUGGCAGAAGAGUUAAAGAUUUAUCGCUGAAAGAUGGCCUCGCGUCUGAUUAGCUAGUUGGUGAGGUAACGGCCCACCAAGGCGACGAUCAGUAGCCGGACUGAGAGGUUGAACGGCCACAUUGGGACUGAGAUACGGCCCAGACUCCUACGGGAGGCAGCAGUGGGGAAUAUUGGGCAAUGGGCGCAAGCCUGACCCAGCAAUGCCGCGUGAAGGAAGAAGGCUUUCGGGUUGUAAACUUCUUUUGUCAGGGACGAGGAGAAGACGGUACCUGACGAAUAAGCCACGGCUAACUACGUG
rnacentral:rRNA from 1 species